rnacentral:rRNA from 1 species
UACGGAGGGGGCUAGCGUUGUUCGGAAUUACUGGGCGUAAAGAGCUCGUAGGCGGUCUGUUACGUCUGCUGUGAAAACCCGGGGCUUAACCCUGGGCUUGCAGUGGAUACGGGCAGACUAGAGGCAGGUAGGGGAGAAUGGAAUUCCCGGUGUAGCGGUGAAAUGCGCAGAUAUCGGGAGGAACAUCAGUGGCGAAGGCGGCUACCUGGCCCAAUACUGACACUCAGGUGCGACAGCGUGGGGAGCAAACAGG